rnacentral:rRNA from 1 species
ACAAUGGAGAGUUUGAUCCUGGCUCAGGAUGAACGCUAGCGGGAGGCCUAACACAUGCAAGCCGAGCGGUAGAGUAUCUUCGGAUACUUGAGAGCGGCGUACGGGUGCGGAACACGUGUGCAACCUGCCUUUAUCAGAGGGAUAGCCUUUCGAAAGGAAGAUUAAUACCUCAUAAUAUACUGAUUGGCAUCAAUUAGUAUUGAAAGCUCUGGCGGAUAGAGAUGGGCACGCGCAAGAUUAGAUAGUUGGUGAGGUAACGGCUCACCAAGUCAAUGAUCUUUAGGGGGCCUGAGAGGGUGAUCCCCCACACUGGUACUGAGACACGGACCAGACUCCUACGGGAGGCAGCAGUGAGGAAUAUUGGACAAUGGGUG